UGCCCUUAUAGCCGGUACCAACGUUGACUCCGCCGUGGCCAACGUUGACACUUGUUCCGCCGCCGGGUUUCUUGUAGCCUGUGUGGACGUUCACCCCGGCAAAUCCCCCUUCUUCUACAAUUAUGCCGCCACAGAAACCCAAAUCCACGACGAUCCUCGUGUCACCCUCUUCUUCUUGGAGAAGGACCUCCACGCCGGGACAAAGAUGACUCUCCACUUCACCCGGAGCAGCGGUGCCACCACCUUCCUCCCCCGUCGUGUGGCCGACAGCCUUCCAUUCUCCUCCGAGAAACUGCCGGAUAUUCUCAGCCGCUUCUCCGUCGAACCAAAUUCCGAAAAAGCAGAAGCGAUGAGGAAGACUAUCAAAGUGUGUGAGGAGCCUGCGGCAGAGGGGGAGCAGAAGGUCUGUGCCACCUCGCUCGAGUCGAUGGUAGACUUCAGCACUGCCAGCCUGGGGACUCGUGAUCUCCGUGCUGAAUCUACGAUGGCUGGACAGGGAGCGGAGGUUGAGCAAGAGUAUACAGUGGCGCCGGCUGGAGUUCAAAAGAUGGCCGGAUCGGAGCUCGUGGCAUGCCACUUGGAGUCCUAUCCCUAUGCUGUGUUCUUCUGCCAUUCGACGGAGAAGACGACUGCUUACAAUGUGGAGAUGGUCGGAGAGAAUGGAGCGAAGGUGAAGGCGGUGGCAGUGUGCCACGCUGAUACGGCAGGGUGGAACCCAGAGCAUGUGGCCUUCAAGGUGCUGAAAGUGAAGCCAGGAACGGUGCCAGUGUGCCACUUUGUGCCGGAGGAGCAUGUUGUGUGGGCUCACAAUAAUUAGGGCUGGCUCUGAUUCUAUGAGGACGCUAUGGCUACUCAGGCUUGAUUAAGUUGGUGUGUUUCGUACAGGGAUGACUCGCUCUACUGUGCUUCUACUUAUACUGUGUAUGAAGUUUGUUGUCUUUGAAGUCACAAGCCUUAUGGGCGUAUACGGAUCUCUUGUGUAAUAUAUGAUAGCAUCGCCUAAGUUAAAGGAUUUAUGCAUUUUCUAAAUAAAAUAUGCCCUUUAU
rnacentral:misc_RNA from 1 species